rnacentral:lncRNA from 1 species
GGAGGUGUCACUGUGAGCUGUGUCGGUGCCUUAAGAGAUAUCUGUUGUGUCUUAUUACUUGGUUGCUUUUCCCCACAUGUACAAUGACAAAAAUGCCUUCAACCUAUUUGAUCCAGCCGUUCCAGUACAACUCCUAUACUUGCCAUCUUUCCAAGCCCAAAGCUAUAGUUCCUCAUGGUCCUGCACUCCAUGGACUAAAUUAUGAUGAAACUGAAACACAAAAAAUUUAGAUUAACUCUUAGGUGACAAAGCCAGGAUUGAAGCUCAUGCGGUCUGGCUCCAGAACAACUCUUCUUCAUAGUUACGUUAUACUGCCCCUGCAUUGUUGGUAUUGAAAAUAACUGAUACCGUGCUUCCAGAAGAUUUUUCUAACAGUGUUUGCAAGCUAUAAAAUAGUGCUUUCACUUAGAAAAGGCUAGACGUGGUGGUUCAUGCCUGUAAUCCCAGCACUUUGAGAGGCCGAGGCACCAUGCUGGGAGAUAAGGAUCCAACAUAAGACAAACAGUGCUGAUGCUUUUGGAAAGCUCAUAUUCAAGCUGGGGAGACAAACAACAUACAAAAACUCACUCUGUCACUCAGGCUGGAGUGCAAUGGCAC